AACGAACGCUGGCGGCAUGCCUAACACAUGCAAGUCGAACGAGACCUUCGGGUCUAGUGGCGCACGGGUGCGUCACGCGUGGGAACCUGCACUUAGGUUCGGAAUAACUCCCCGAAAGGGGUACUAAUACCGGAUAAUAUCUACGACCCAAAGAUUUAUCGCAUUUGGUUGUGCCCGCGUUGGAUUAGCUGGUUCUGAGGGUAAAAGGCUGCCAAGGCGACCAUCCAUAGCUGGUAUCAGAGACUGGUCAGCGACACUGGGACUGGGACACGGCCCAGAAUCCUACGGGAGGCAGCAGUGGGGAAUAUUGCACCAUCGGCUAAAGCAUGAUCCAGCAAUGAUGCGUGAGCGAUGAAGUUAUGAGAGUUGUAAAGCGCAUGUACCCGGGAUGAUAAUGACAGUACCGGGAGAAUAAGCUCCGGCUAACUCCGUG
rnacentral:rRNA from 1 species